GCACCGGGAAGCAGGGGCCGAGCCUUCCCCGCUCUGUGCCUGGGGGCUCUGGGCACUGUCUACACCUGGGAGGUGGUCAGCAUAUGUGCGUGGGAACUUGCUGGAAGGAAGGAAUGACCCUUCUAGCCAUGGAACGGUGGUCAUCCGUGAGCCACGGCCUCAGGAGGUGCCUUCCUAAUGUGCAGGUGACGAUUGCCUCUGAGCUCAGGCAUGCAGCUUCUGGGAUGCACUCUCCUUUCACGGCAAAGCAUUCUGCAUAGGAAAAACCGUCUCUGCGUCUCCAAGCUGUGGCCUAGCCCUUCAUUCAUCAAAUGGGAUACAACUUUCAUUUCUUAUUAAAAUCUGGAAGUCACUCUCCAUUUGUAAGAUAUUUGGAACUUGACAUAAUUUGAGCUGUUUAUGUUGUAGCCAGCUGCCUGAGGUGGCUGACAGCUUCACCCAGCUGAGGUUCUUGCCCAUCCUAUACACCC
rnacentral:lncRNA from 1 species